CCUAAUAUUAGCCACACUGAUUUUUACCACCUCUAAGCUUAUUUUAAUGAUUUUCUCAGAUUGCAGGUUGGGUCGAAAGGUGCUCGAUGAUUCGCUUCAUAGGACUACUGCUGCUCGGAUUGAUUUCGUUGUUACACAGGUCUUUUGCUAAUCCCGUUUGUCCAGAUUGUUCUUUGCUGCGACUUGCAUAUGCAAAACUCAUACAGUGCUAAUAUGGAAUAUCAGGCUUUCACGUUUCAUAGUACUUCUUAUUUCUUCUUCUCAACACAACUUCUCUCAUCCGAGAAAAAAUCACGGAUGAUUGGUUCCCAUAUUAUUUUCUGUUUUGUGUGUGUUUAUUGUACAUUUGAUUAUAUCCAUUUCUAAUAGGGAUAAUAUGUUGAUGCUAGAGCUUAAACUCUAAAAUCGUAAAAGGGCGGUGUGUUCAGGAUGUGGUUGAGAGAAUAGUAGUUGGCAGAUACUGGAUUACCUGACCAGAAAGAGUAUCAUGGAAUUGGAUACGGACUUCCCUCAGGUUUUUGCAAUUUAGAUUAGCAAAUCACUUUUACUAUGUACGAAACUGAUCUGUUUCUUCUCAUUUAGGAUAGACGCAGUAAAAAAGAUGUCGUCAUUAUUCUUAUUUUCCUUUGUUACUGAAGAUUAUUCCGUACACAGACACACACACACACACACGCAACUGUGAAGGUAUAUGUGUUUUUUGUUUUUGGACAAGUCAUAUACAUGUUUGACUGGUAAUCAUGAUGCCUUGCUUCCUUUCUUUGCUGAAAUUUUACAACAAUGCCUCUACUAACCUCAUUUCAAUUGAUGAGUACAGACCUUCUGUUUGUUUUUGUGUGUGUUAAAUGGCAUAGGAAUUUCUCCCCUGGAGCUUUCCAGUUCAGAGAACUGAAUUUGACACUCCAAAUCAUAAUACAACAUUCAACAUUACUACGCAAGGGAACUUCAGAAAAUAUUUUCCUGUCCCUGGUAGAAACAGAACUGAAGAUUACACCCUUCAGGUUAGGUAUGGACACUUCAAAUCAGUAGACACCUUUUUUUCUUUCUGGUAUUGCUUCCAAAAUCAUGAUUACGUUCAUAUCACAAAACAGUCAAAAUGCUAAGCUAAAUUGUACUACAACAACAGCCUAUCUACAACUACAGCCAGCAGCUACAACAGCUGAGCGCACAUCACAUGGGCCUAGCCAAGUACGUUUACAUUGCAAGACAGUCUCGACGACAUUGACAGAGCAAAAUUUGUUGUAUUUUUCCCAUCAAUUGUUUUGUUCUGUGGUUGUUCUGAUGCUGAACAUAAAAUAAAUGUAUGCUUGCUGCUCAUUAUCAGGCUAUGAGGCAGACAAAGCAACUACAAAAGAAUGUAUCCUAGCUACCUUCACCAAUAUGUUGCAGCAGCAAGUCAAGCCACAGAAAAUAUAUGAAUGAUUGCUGUUAAUUUCAUUGGAAUGCAGGAAUGGCUGACCGAGAGCAGUGUGCACAUCUCUGAGGCCAAACGAGGUGUUGGAGUCGAGGAUUUGACACAAUUUGGAUCGAAUUACUGCUAUCUAUCCAACCGAUCUUUCUCUCCUCGGCUCUUGGUAGUUCGUCCCUGAGAUUGGUUUUCUAUGCCUAAGAAAGUGGAAUGGAGGGAGUAAUGCCUUGAGGUCUUAUUUAUUAUAAUUAUAGUCAAUGUAGUUCCAUUUUCAUAUUGUAGAGAUGAUAUUCGUUGUGUUACCUUGGGCCUGUAGGGUAUGUCAACCGGCUUUACCUAUGGAACACUUAGUUUAUUCCCAGUACUUUAUCAGCAAUCAUUUUUGUUAAAAGUAACUGUAUGCCACCACAGUGGCAAGAGUUAAUUCUCUUAAUAGGAUACUCUUGCAUUGCUAUGAACUUGGCCUCGGAUCAGAUUUUAUUGAACAAUAUUGCAUUUUAUUGUUAGCA
rnacentral:lncRNA from 1 species